rnacentral:rRNA from 1 species
GACGAACGCUGGCGGCGUGCUUAACACAUGCAAGUCGAACGGAAAGGCCCUGCUUUUGUGGGGUGCUCGAGUGGCGAACGGGUGAGUAACACGUGAGUAACCUGCCCUUGACUUUGGGAUAACUUCAGGAAACUGGGGCUAAUACCGGAUAGGAGCUCCUGCUGCAUGGUGGGGGUUGGAAAGUUUCGGCGGUUGGGGAUGGACUCGCGGCUUAUCAGCUUGUUGGGGGGGUAGUGGCUUACCAAGGCUUUGACGGGUAGCCGGCCUGAGAGGGUGACCGGCCACAUUGGGACUGAGAGACGGCCCAGACUCCUACGGGAGGCAGCAGGGGGGAAUAUUGCACAAUGGGCGGAAGCCUGAUGCAGCAACGCCGCGUGCGGGAUGACGGCCUUCGGGUUGUAAACCGCUUUCGCCUGUGACGAAGCGUGAGUGACGGUAAUGGGUAAAGAAGCACCGGCUAACUACGUG